rnacentral:rRNA from 1 species
UACGAAGGGGGGCUAGCGUUGCUCGGAAUCACUGGGCGUAAAGCGCACGUAGGCGGAUUGCUAAGUCAGGGGUGAAAUCCUGGAGCUCAACUCCAGAACUGCCUUUGAUACUGGCGAUCUCGAGUCCGGGAGAGGUGAGUGGAACUGCGAGUGUAGAGGUGAAAUUCGUAGAUAUUCGCAAGAACACCAGUGGCGAAGGCGGCUCACUGGCCCGGUACUGACGCUGAGGUGA